rnacentral:rRNA from 1 species
AGCGGCGCACGGGUGAGUAACACGUGGGUAAUCUGCCUUCGGGCCUGGGACAACCCGGGGAAACCUGGGCUAAUACCGGAUGAGACCACGGUGUCCUCGGACACUGCGGCCAAAGAUGGCCUCUUCUUGAAAGCUAUCGACCGAAGAUGAGCCUGCGUCCCAUUAGCUAGUUGGUGAGGUAACGGCUCACCAAGGCAGUGAUGGGUAGCUGGUCUGAGAGGACGAUCAGCCACACUGGAACUGAGACACGGUCCAGACUCCUACGGGAGGCAGCAGUCGGGAAUUUUGGGCAAUGGGGGCAACCCUGACCCAGCAACGCCGCGUGAGCGAUGAAGGCCUUCGGGUCGUAAAGCUCUGUCGAGAGAGAAGAAGGCUCUCCGGGUGAACAAUCCGGGGGGACGACGGUACCUCUAAAGGAAGCGCCGGCUAACUCCGUGCCAGCAGCCGCGGUAAUACGGAGGGCGCAAGCGUUGUUCGGAAUCACUGGGCGUAAAGCGCGUGUAGGCGGCUUGGCAAGUCGGGUGUGAAAGCCCGGAGCUCAACUCCGGAACUGCAUUCGAAACUGCCUCGCUCGAGUCCCGGAGAGGGUGGUGGAAUUCCCGGUGUAGAGGUGAAAUUCGUAGAUAUCGGGAGGAACACCAGUGGCGAAGGCGGCCACCUGGACGGUGACUGACGCUGAGACGCGAAAGCGUGGGGAGCAAACAGGAUUAGAUACCCUGGUAGUCCACGC